AGGGAACAGAAAAAGUACAAGAAUCCUGAUAAAUAUAGCAGUUGGUGGCGUCCGCCUGUUGAGGAGGUGCUUGCAAAAUUAGCAACUCAUUUCACCAAAGUUCAUUCCAGGCAGUGUGUGGAUGAGGUUGAACUGGCUGAACAUGUUGUUGGCUUGACAGGCAGCCUGGCAUCUUGUCAAUUUAGAAAGAAGUUAACUCGAUUAUCUGUGAGUGCAAAUGGAGCCUUUGUUCCAAAGGACAAUGUUGAUCGUAAUGUAAUAAAGAAAUCGUUGUGGUGAGUGAUUUUUACAUCUUUUUACAGUGCUAAGAACCUCA